rnacentral:rRNA from 1 species
AUUGAACGCUGGCGGCAGGCCUAACACAUGCAAGUCGAGCGAGAGGCGGACGGGUGAGUAAUGUAUGGGGACUGCCCGAUAGAGGGGGAUAACUACUGAAAACGGUAGCUAAUACCGCAUACUAUCGGAUAACCCAUAUGGGAUUAGCUCGUAGGUGGGGUAAAGGCUCACCUAGGCGACGAUCUAUAGCUGGUCUGAGAGGAUGAUCAGCCACACGGGUACUGAGACACGGCCCAGACUCCUACGGAGGCAGCAGUGGGGAAUAUUGCACAAUGGGCGCAAGCCUGAUGCAGCCAUGCCGCGUGUAUGAAGAAGGCCUUAGGGUUGUAAAUUACUUUCAGCGGGGAGGCGUUACCCGCAGAAGAAGCACCGGCUAACUCCGUGCCAGCCGCCGCGGUAAUUC